ensembl:lncRNA
GAUGACUCUGCCAUCUAUUAACUAGAUUAAUUUCCCUUCAAAGCGAUCCAGAUAUCCCCCAGCUCUGGCUGUGCACUGCUCUGCUCUGGCAGAGUUCCCAGCUCCCCAGUGUGUGUGUUUUAGGGGCUGCCCACGUGUUACACGGAUGGGCGCUUCCUUUGCACUCCCAACCACGUCUGUGCCCCAGCAGCACACACACUUGCUCAUCCUGGCUUUUGCUCUCUCGCAGUGGGAAUGGUGCCCGGACACCGCUCGUCUUUUCAUGCAGGAAAUUUCCAAGGCUUGCGUGGCUUCCACACUUCACAAAUAAAUCCACUAAGACUUCUCACUUCCAGAAAUGGCAGCUGGCUGCCUGGGACAGUUAUUUAUAGUAACAGAGUUAAAUCAGAACAAAAUGUGUUUUGUUUUUAUUUGUAACACUGUGAACAGCGUGAUAACAAUGCCAACCAGCAAGCAUCAGCUUGUAGAAUGAUCCAGAAGUGUACUGGUUUGUUACGGGAGCGAGCCUAGGCCAUGGGGCCUGGCUGUCCCCUGGGGAACGCUGCAGCCCUCAGCAUAGGUGCAGGGAACACCUGGAGGCUCCUCAAGCCUUGUUCGGAGCAGAUGCAAUUGGGCAGCAGUGCCGUGCUCCUGCUCGCAGCAGAACUGCAGCUUCGCUCCACGCAGAGGCCGCUGGACUUCUGCCACCAGGCAGACUUCUGAUAGCAAUCCUUCUGGCAGGGCCUCGCGGGGCUGCGGCUCAAGGUGAGGGGCAGUGGGCGCAGUGGUAACAAAUGAAAUAUAUCACAAAGUGUGCCAUGUUAAUAUUGUGCUCUGUUCUGUGGAGCUGGAAGAAAAGAACUAACUCAGUUGCGUAGUUAGCUGCAAAGCACCAAACACGACUAGCACAGGGAAGCGUACAGAUGUUUUGCAGUGACUGACAGAAACAGAAAAGACCAAUGCAAGAUUCAGCAUCAGAAAUUCCCCACGACACCAGGGGCGUGACCCUACCCUUGGCAAUGGGUAAAAUGCUGGAGGACGAUGAUUUAGCAUAUUCUGAUAGACGCACAAUGAAGCUGGGGAAGAUGUUUGGCAUGCCAAGUAAAAGUUAGGGAGGGGUGCAAACGGGGCAUCCAGGACAUGAGAGCAAUGCGAGGGUUUCCCUCGGGGCUGGUGUGAGACGAGCAGCAUGUUUGAAGAUAAUAUGGAAAUGAGAGGAGAAUUGCCAUCAAGCAAUUGCAAGUCAAGCAAAGCUUCUACUUAUGCUUGAGACAGUGGAAAACUUUUAAAAUUUGAUUCUGCCAAGCUAUAACUACUCCCGGAGUUAAUAAUCUUCUGGGGCACGCUCCUGGGAAUUGAGUGGUUUUCCUUUUCAGAAGUUUGUUUCAGAAGUUAAUUGCAAAAUUCUGAGUUGAAUUAUUUAUAAACAUACGAAAGGUGGUUAAGCAUUCACUAAUGACGGGCUUUUUCACAAUCCGGUGAAUGAGCUGAUAUGUAAUCUUUGUUUUUACUAUGAUUAAAACACACACACAAAUGUCACAGUCACAAGGUGAACAUUAAAUUUUUUUCCUCCAAGUCUGAAAUAUAUCUUUAUUCCUAGGAAUCUGGACAGAUGUUUAAAAGUGGUAGGAGGGCUACUACUUAAUUACCAUGAGAUCCGCAUUUCAUCGUGUUAAUGAAAUAAAAGUUACUUCGUUACCA